rnacentral:lncRNA from 1 species
AUGUCCAGCCACGCCGCCGCGGCCAUCUCCGCUAUGAUCACCAGCCAGGUGUACCCGCAGCCGCCACGGGUCGCCACACACACCAGGCAGCGGAGCAGGAGCCAAGAGCUACGGCCUGUGGCGUCGCUCCCAAAAGGCAAAGUCAUCGGGACUGUACAGGUUACAAUCGGGAUUGUGCUCGUAGGCACUUUCUUCGUGUCGGUGCUUAAUUACGGAGGUCUCUAUCGGGAGGCGCAGGUGGCAUCGGUGGUGGGAUGCGUAGUGUACGUCUUGAGCGGUCUGGUGUCUGCUUUUGCCAAAGGACAGAGCGGGGUGAGUCGAGGUUCUGUGCCCCGCGUCCCUGUGUGCCCCUGCGGUGCCUUUGUCGACCUCGCGGUUGCGUUCGAUUAACGUGUCAGCAGUUUCCCAGCACCCAGCCAAUGCAGCGUCGCACGGCGGAUUUUAACGGACAACCUCCAAAAAUGAGUUUAAAAUCCAACCGGGACAUCACGGUGACUUUUUAUCGUUCAAGUUUUCACUCGGACGUACCUGUGAGCGCUAAUCACAUCUGCUCAUUAGCAGAACCGUUCCAUCGCUUCAGUCGCGGGUGCCGAAAGGAAACGAGAAGGAAGGCGCCCGACGCUGGCAGUGUGAUGCUUUAACCGCAGACGUGAUGUGUGUUCCAGAUCAAAGCGGCGAUCUUCACCAACGGCCUCAGCUCUCUGACAGCCUUCAUCAGCAUCAUCAUUUACUGCCUAUGUUUUCAGCGCUGCUGGGACAACACUCUCUCUGGGGCCCAUUUCUACACAGUAAGGCUGUUCCCUUCCUGCUGCUCGCCGGUACACGUCCCUGUCGCUUCCCGUUCAGGUCAUUGACGUGUGUACCUGCAGAAUGCAGAUGAAGCUCAUUUAGCCUGUCUGCAGUCACGCACGAGAGUAACUUUACUUUUUGUUUAUUUUCCUUGCUAUAAUUUGCAGCAAAAAUGAGCUUCACACUCGAGUGUCUGCUAUUACGCACCUAAGCUUGACCUCCGCUGAUUGAGUUGUUUUGACAUUAGUAAUUGAGGUCAAGUGUCUUUCUUAAGGUGCAACACAAGUCCCUGUGGGAUUUUAACCUAUAACCUUUUGGUAGCAAGUUCAGCUGUUUCAGUGAUCACGUGUCAACAACCACAGCUCACUGUGCAUUCAUAUCGGCUGUUCUGUGCUACGCUCUCGCUCAGAACUGCAAUGCAACUACCAUCCUGGGGACAGUUCUCUUCCUGUCCAUUCUGGACCUCUUUGUCGCAGUCCUGACCAUAGUGCUCGGCUGUAGGGCCAUCCGGCGAAAAGAGGCCUUGGUGAGGAACAACCACUGAUCUGCACACAGAUCUGCUUUUGUAUUAUUGCAUACAUGUUGUUUGUACGUUUGUCUCCAUAGCACACACACACACACACACACACACACACACACACACACACACACACACACACACACACAUUUUCAGAACCGCUUGUCCCAUAUGGGGUCACGGGGAACCGGAGCCUAACCCGGCAACUCAGGGCGCAAGGCUGGAGGGGGGAGGGGACACACCCAGGACGGGACGCCAGUCCGUUGCAAGGCACCCCAAGCAGGACUUGAACCCCAGACCCACCGAAGAGCAGGACUGUGGUCCAACCCACUGCGCCACCGCACCCCCUCGUCUCCAUAGCAACCAGAAUAAAUAGUAAACAGAAAGGAAUGUCA